rnacentral:lncRNA from 10 species
GGAACAGCAAAUGCAGAGAGGAUGCACACUCUGAAGAGGGCAGGCAGCUUCUGCACCGAGGGAGCAAAGGGGCGUGUCAGGGGCAGCUGCUGGAAGGAGGCGCAAGCACCACGGAGAGUCUGGGAUGCCCAGCCAAGGAGCCCUGGAAGGGUUGCCCUGGGGACUGACACUGUGGGCUCUGUGUUUUAGCCAAGUCACCCAGGCAGCUGAACAGAAGAUGGACUGGAGGGAGAAGCCUGGAUGUAGGAUCGCUCAGCAACAAAGGAGCCAGAAAAGGCAAGGUGUACACACCGUGUGCAGCAUGGGCGAGCUGCAGGCAUGCAGAACUUCUGAGUCCUAACCAUGGCUGGUGGCUCUUCCAGGAACAUGGUUUCCUGGACCCAAAAGGUCACUAUCCUUAAUCCCUCUCCCUGUGGGGUCUUCCCUAUCUUGAGCCUGUGGACAGCUGUGCAGUGGCAAGAAAAAGGCCUUCAGAGCUACGCAGACCUGGCUUCAAAUCCCAGCCUCCCUGAUGAGCCCUGGUGGUCUUGCAUGCUUGCCCUUGGGACUCAGACACCAUAUUGUGAGGAAGCCCAAGCUACAUGCAGAGGCCACUAUAGUUGUUCUGGCCAACAGCCCAAGCUUCAGCUGCCAGACAUAUAAAUAAACCAACUCUUCAAAUGAUUUCAGUUUCCAGACUUCAGUGCAUCCCAGGUAAUGUCCAGAGGAGCAGAGAUGAACCAUCCUCUCUGAGCCCUGCCCAAAUGCAGACUUGAGAACAAACUAAAUGUCAUUGUCUCAAGCCACCAAUUUUCAGGGUGGCUUGGUACACAGCACCAGGUAACAGGAAUAGCCCCCCUCUUCCUCUGCAGCUCUCCCCAGGUACAGGCAAGCUCCCCAACCCAUGCUUCAUCCCCACCCCACAGACAGAACCUGGAGUCAGUCCUCCCACCCACAACUGUGCCUUCCAAACUAAGCUCAAAGCCCAGCUCUGUUGCUUUCAGAUGGGUGCCCUAGGGCAAGUCACCAACCCUAUAUGACAAAUCCCUCUGUGUCAAAUGGGAAUUAUAAUAGUGCCCCUGAGGAGUCUUGGAGAGAUUUAAUAAAGUGCCUGGAACAUAAUGAGUGCUCAUUAAGUGGACGCAGGGACAUGAGGCUUGGGAAAAAGGAAGGGGUCAAAGACGUCACCCCAGUCUCUGACUGGGAGGGAGAGAG